rnacentral:lncRNA from 1 species
AAUGCUUCAUUUACAUAUGUAAAAGUUGGUUUGGUAGAGUAUGGUAUCAAAUAAGAAGAUAUGGGUGGCUCACAUAUGAUGAUUUCAAUAAACCUUUAAUACAUGGAAUAAAUUAGAAUUUUACACAAUUCAAUCACCAAUAUCUUCUUUUGACAAAAAAAAAUAAAAAUCACCAAUAUCUUCACUGCAUUCAAAGUUUGGGGAACAAUAAACCGUCAAUAUAAAGCCCUUUUUUUUUAUCUACCAAAUCUAAGAAAAACUAAGGUGAAAAUCUCAGUAAAUCAUUGUACUACCAUGUAAAAAAUAAAUCCAAUUAUAGGUGUCAACAUGAAAUGGAAGAGUACAAGCUGGAUGGAUGAAGUGGAAGAGUGCAUCCGGCGUGUUGUGUGACCGUCGUAGGCCACUGAAGCUCAAGGGAAAAUUUUAUAGGACGGCAAUAAGGCCGGCGAUGCUGUAUGGCACAGAAUGUUGGGCGGUGAAGCAUUAACACGUAGGUGUAGUGGAGAUGAGGAUGCUUCGUUGGAUGUGUGGGCACAUGAGAAAGGAUAAGAUUAGGAAUGAGGAUAUCCGAGGUAAAGUAGGAGUAGCCGAAAUUGAAGGAAAGAGGAGAGAAAAUCGGUUACGGUGGUUUGGACAUGUGCAAAGAAGGCCUACUGACACUCCGGUUCGAAGAUGUGACUACGGGACAGAGGUUCAGGGCCGAAGGGAUAGAGGAAGACCUAGGAAAACUUUGGAAGAGACCCUGAGAAAAGACUUAGAGUACUUGGAUCUAACGGAGGACAUGACACAAAACUGAGCGCAAUGGCAUUCUAGGAUUCAUAUAGCCGACCCCACUUAGUGGGAAAAGGCUUUGUUGUUGUUGUUGUUGUAUAGGUGUCAACAUGAAAAAUGGGACCACGAAACAAGUUAAAAACAUAAGAAUAAACCGAUUGUAUCAGAAACCAGCAGGUUAAGCCCCCUUUAAACCUAUAUCAUGGAACCAGUACAGAAGCUGAGAUUGGACUGAAAUGCUUAUCUUAAAGCCCUAAACCGUAAUAGAAAAUCCAAUAAGGGGGAGGGGAGGAGGAGAAGUGGGGUAGGCAAUAGAAGGAAAGAGAGAAUCGAAUGCAUGGAAAAGAAAAAUACCGAUUUGGACCUCUGCAUCCUUCACCCCAAAGCAAGAGCACUGUGUUCUCUCCCAACUUUGUUUUUUGGCCUUCUCACCAAAUCCAACAAUGAAAACACGAAGGGGAGGGAGACAACUAGGUAUAAAGAGGAAAGGUGGACCGAGAAAAGCAGGAAAACCAAGGAAGUGUUGUACUUUUAUGCGCAAACGGAAGCGAAUUCUAACAAAGUACCAAUAUCAACGUCGUAGGUGAAAGCUAAAACAAACAAUCUCAAACUAACACAAGAGAUUUACGUGGUUCGGCGUAAAGCCUACGUCCACGAGCAAAGCACAGCGAGGAAUUUCACUAAACAAAUGGAGAUUACAAAAGAGUGUUUAAACUCUCACAACCCAAAUCCCACAAAUUACAAACCCUAAACCAAACGAGUAGAGAACCCAAAACCAACAGAGAAGAUUCUCCCAAAUUGCCCUCGAACUCACAAACUCACAAAUUGACUCUCACCAAAUUUGUCAAACAAAUGAGCCACACUAAAUACACUAACCCUAAGGUCCUAUUUAUAGUGCAUAGGACUUAGGUUACAAUAAGAAUCCUAAAAAAAAAGGUCGUACCCAGUGCACAAGGCUCCCGCUUUACGCAGGGUCUGGGAGAGGUGAAUGUCAGCUAGCCUUAUCCCCAUUUAAGGAGAGGCUGCUCCCAAGUCUCGAACCCGAGACCUACCGCUCAUGGGCGAAGGCACUUGCCAUCGCACCAAGUGCGAGCUCUUCAAAUAGGUAAUAAAUUCAAAUCCUAAUCAAAUAGGUAAUUAACAAAAUCUCUCCACCAAGGAAACUAACUAAGAAGUCAAAACCAAACCCAAAUAGGACACCAAAACCAAAUAGGUAAUAGAAACCUAAUUUAUUGCAUCAUCCUAAUUUUGAGCCAAAAACCUAACAGGAAGAUAAUGUAUGACUCAAAACAUAAAAUUAUUUUUAAUUCAAGAUGUCCAGAUACCGAUUUUAUUCAAAUAAAGAAAAAGUUCGGGAGAUUUACAGGAAAUACAUCACGCAAAACUAUUUUUAUUGAAUUUAGAGAGCAUAAGAGAAGAACCUACCUG